rnacentral:hammerhead_ribozyme from 2 species
UUGCGAAACCGCCCCAUUGCGAAGGGGCGGUCGCCGGGGCGUGGCGGCCCCGGCCUGACGAGCAGCCAACG